CCAAUAGCGUAUAUUAAAGUUGUUGCAGUUAAAAAGCUCGUAGUUGAAUUUCGGGGUUCAUACGUUGGUCGGGCUUUUUGGUCUGUACUAGCGUAAUGGAUUCCUACCUUCUGAAUAACCGGCAUGUCAUUAAUUUGGUGCGCCGGGGAAGCAGGACUGUUACCUUGAAAAAAUUAGAGUGCUUAAAGCAGGCUAUCGCCUGAAUACAUUAGCAUGGAAUAAUGAAAUAGGACGGCAUGGUUCUAUUUUGUUGGUUUCUAGGAUCACCGUAAUGAUUAAUAGGGAUAGUUGGGGGCAUUAGUAUUCAAUUGUCAGAGGUGAAAUUCUUGGAUUUAUUGAAGACUAACUUCUGCGAAAGCAUUUGCCAAGGAUGUUUUCAUUAAUCAAGAACGAAAGUUAGGGGAUCGAAGACGAUCAGAUACCGUCGUAGUCUUAACCAUAAACUAUGCCGACUAGGGAUCGGACGAUGUUAAUUUUUUAAUGACUCGUUCGGCGCCUUAC
rnacentral:rRNA from 1 species